AAGGAUUUAAGUUAAAACUAAAACUUGUAACCUUCAAAGUUAUAAAUAAAGAAAUUCCCUUUAAGCCUUA
rnacentral:tRNA from 1 species